CUCAGCUCUAGCUGGGGCUCUGUGAAACAGGGCUCUCCCCCAUGGGAACACCUUAGCCCUUUCCCACCCAGUUCCCUGCCAGUCCCAGGAACAAGACUCUGAAGGGGGCUUAGGACCCCUGGGGAGGGAAAAGAAGUCUGUACAAAUAGCUCCAAGUCCCUGGCCAACCAGAGCUGGCCGUACUCAGAUCCACCCUCUAGCAGGUGAUUGGCCCCUGGGGGGGUUACCACCCCCCACCCUACCCUGGAACCAGGUUCCUUCAUUAAGCCCCACCCCAAGCAGGUCCCUCUUGGGCAGUCCAUCUCUGAUUGCUUCUGUGGGUGUGGCUCCUGAGGCUAGGGGCAGGAAGGAGCUGGUUUGUCCCUACCACGGGAAAGAGGUCAUUUCUUCACCAGCUCUGAGCUGAGAAAGUUCGUGGCGGCUGCCCCACUGGCUCCUUUCUAUGGCUCUCAAGGAAGGACUGAGGUGAGUGGGGAACUGCCAGGGAGUGGGGCAGUGGGACAGCCAACCUGUGAGAGGUGCAGUCUGGUGGGCAGAACAGUCAAAGGAGAGGCACCAAUGUUAGCUAGCCGAGAAUAAUCUGAGCCACAAGCCCUGGGAAAAGGUGGCUCACACAGCCAUGCAUGGACUGUGGGGUAUGAGACCUGUGUAC
rnacentral:lncRNA from 1 species